AUUGAACGCUGGCGGCAGGCCUAACACAUGCAAGUCUAGCGGAUGAAGGGAGCUUUCUCCUGGAUUCAGCGGCGGACGGGUGAGUAAUGCCUAGGAAUCUGCCUUGUAGUGGGGGCUAACGUCCGGAAACGGGCGCUAAUACCGCAUACGUCCUGAGGGAGAAAGUGGGGGAUCUUCGGACCUCACGCUAUCAGAUGAGCCUAGGUCGGAUUAGCUAGUUGGUGGGGUAAAGGCCUACCAAGGCGACGAUCCGUAACUGGUCUGAGAGGAUGAUCAGUCACACUGGAACUGAGACACGGUCCAGACUCCUACGGGAGGCAGCAGUGGGGAAUAUUGGACAAUGGGCGAAAGCCUGAUCCAGCCAUGCCGCGUGUGUGAAGAAGGUCUUCGGAUUGUAAAGCACUUUAAGUUGGGAGGAAGGGCAGUAAGUUAAUACCUUGCUGUUUUGACGUUACCAACAGAAUAAGCACCGGCUAACUUCGUG
rnacentral:rRNA from 1 species